UAAUACGUAGGAGGCGAGCGUUAUCCGGAUUCACUGGGCGUAAAGAGGACGUAGGUGGUUCUUCAAGUUGGAUGUAAAAUCUCCCGGCUCAACUGGGAGGGAUCAUUCAAUACUGUUGGACUGGAGGGCAACAGAGGGAGACAGAAUUCCCGGUGUAGUGGUGAAAUGCGUAGAUAUCGGGAGGAAUACCAGUGGCGAAGGCGGCCUCCUGGGUUGUUACUGACGCUUAUGCCCGAAGGCGUGGGGAGCAAACAGGAUUAGAUACCCUGGUAGUCCACGCUGUAAACUAUGGACACUGGGUAUAGGGAGUAUCGACCCUCUCUGUGCCGAAGCUAACGCGUUAAGUGUCCCGUCUGGGGACUACGGCCGCAAGGCUA
rnacentral:rRNA from 1 species